AAUCUACCGGAGCUUGGGUUUCAUCAUCAUCAUCAUUUCCCUCUAAUAUAGGUGCAUUAGGAUAAAGAGCAUUCAUAAUAUCAUCGUCUAUUCUAUCACCUACUGCUACAUCAUGUAGAAAAUCAAUAUCGCUAAAUUGAAAACACGGGUGAUCACUAUCAAGGAUUCCGAAGGGUUCAUUAGGACUUCUAGGUUGGCUACUACUUUUAACUUGCUUAUGUUUUCUAGGUCGGGGAGCCGGGGGAGGGGUAGUAUUUUGGCCACUACUUUCACCGGUUUUAGCUUUUCCUUUACCGAACAUAUUUUUCAACGGAAAUGCCAUAAUAAUU
rnacentral:lncRNA from 1 species